CGCACCGCUGGGUCCGCCUCUCUGGCGCUAGACCAGACCCUGGUGAGGCUGCUUCCGUGGCGGGCACCAUCGCCUGCAACGCAGGCUCAGGCUCGUAGGUUCAGCCCGGCCGGGCGCAAACCAGGGAAGGAGGCCCCGGGCAGGGUCUUAGACUCCAAAGCCUGUGAAGCAGCCCAGCGCCCAGCGGUCAGGAGCUUCAAGGAUGAGAGAGGGACUCGUCCCUUCCAGGAACGUCCUGCCUUCACCUGUUCUUCAGGUGUGCCAGCAAGUCUGGGUGCAGCAACAGGAGACACAGACAGAGGGAGGAGCAGGCUCCCUGCGGGGAGCCGGAAGCAUGACUCAAUCCCAGACCCCCAGCAUCAUGCCCUGAACCAAAGGCAGGUGCCCAACGGCUGAGCCACUCAGGCGUCCCAAUCUUUGUGGUUUUUAGUCAUCGAAAUCCUUGUAGAUAUUACAUAGCCCUUGGUAGCACCUUCUCCCCUUUCUUCAGUGGCUAAUAAAACAUUGGACCCUCUCUGAGCCUGCGAAUCCCACACCCAA